UGUGGUGGAACAAAUAGCAGCUUAUGGCCAGGUUGUAUUUUGACUCCAGGAGUUCAUUGAUGAAGUCAUGGGACACAGUUCCAAAAGCAUGCUGCCUGGAAGUGGGUCUGUUCCUAAGAAGUCACCUGAAGCUCCCUUUAGAACCUACCAGGCUUUCAUGUGAGCCCUGUACAAAUACUUCAUUGGUUUCAAAGAGCAACUUGCAGAAAUUGAGAAGUGCAUCAUCAAUAAUGAUGCUGCAAUAACUCUUGGGAUAGUGGUGGACAAGUUGUCACCUCGAUUGGCUCAGCUCAAGGUUCGCACAGAGUGUUCAGUACCAGAGUAGCAGAAGUUCCACCUGAUACUCAAAAUGUCUGGGCCUCUCACCUGCGCAACACCCUGUACAAGGCCAUUCUCGAAUAUGACAAUGUUGGAGAGGCCUCUGAGCAAACCUUUCCCAGUCUGGACUGCAAACAAUAUGAUCCUUCCAUACUUGGGUGAGUUUUUUGUAAGGAUUUUAUAGCAUAUGUUUUGGGAUUUUUAAAUUUCAAGGCAUUUCAGAAAUGUUUAAACCUCCUUUUGUUCUAGUGGCCAGGGAGCCCUGAGAGCUGACUGUGCACACUCUCUGCCUCAGGUCUCCCUCCUGUUCUCUCCCUGGGUGGAAAUGGUGUGGCCUUACCUGCAGACAGUGGAUGAGUAGAUCGUGCAUGGGCACCUGUGGGACGACACCAGGGAGUUGAUCAUCCAGAGCGUGUCAGACAAGACAGAAAGUGAAGAAAAAAUGAGUGAUAAUGCGAGUGCGAGUUCCGGCAGUGACCAGGGGCCCUCCAGCAGGCAUCACACCAUGGCGUCCUUCCUCAAACCUGUCCUGGAGCAGAUCAUAAUGGCUGACAAGUCCAUGCAGUUGCUG